UACAGAGGAGCCAAGCGUUGUCCGGAUUGACUGGGCGUAAAGCGCACGCAGGCGGUCGGGCGCGUGGGGUGUGAAAUCUGGCCGCUUAACGGCCAGGCGCCAUCCCAUACGGCCGGACUGGAGUGAUGCAGAGGUCGGUGGAAUUGCCGGUGUAGUGGUGAAAUGCGUAGAUAUCUGGAGGAACACCGGUGGCGAAGGCGGCAUCCUGGACCGGCAUUGACGCUGAGGCGCGAAAGCCAGGGGAGCAAACGGG
rnacentral:rRNA from 1 species